rnacentral:rRNA from 1 species
GACGAACGCUGGCGGCGUGCCUAAUACAUGCAAGUCGAACGCUUUUUCUUUCACCGGAGCUUGCUCCACCGAAAGAAAAAGAGUGGCGAACGGGUGAGUAACACGUGGGUAACCUGCCCAUCAGAAGGGGAUAACACUUGGAAACAGGUGCUAAUACCGUAUAACACUAUUUUCCGCAUGGAAGAAAGUUGAAAGGCGCUUUUGCGUCACUGAUGGAUGGACCCGCGGUGCAUUAGCUAGUUGGUGAGGUAACGGCUCACCAAGGCAACGAUGCAUAGCCGACCUGAGAGGGUGAUCGGCCACACUGGGACUGAGACACGGCCCAGACUCCUACGGGAGGCAGCAGUAGGGAAUCUUCGGCAAUGGACGAAAGUCUGACCGAGCAACGCCGCGUGAGUGAAGA